AAUCAACGCUGGCGGCGUGCCUCAGACAUGCAGGUCGAACGCGAAAGUCCCCUUCGGGGGAUGAGUAGAGUGGCGUCCGGGUGAGUAACACGUAGGUAAUCUACCUUUGGGUGGGGAAUAACCCCGAGAAAUCGGGGCUAAUACCGCAUAAUGCAGCGGCACCACAUGGUGACAGUUGUUAAAGCGGGGGAUCGCAAGACCUCGCGCCUAAAGAGGAGCCUGCGGCGGAUUAGCUAGNGGUAGGGUAACGGCCUACCAAGGCAACGAUCCGUAGCCGGCCUGAGAGGGCGGUCGGCCACACUGACACUGAAAUACGGGUCAGACUCCUACGGGAGGCAGCAGUCGGGAAUUUUGGGCAAUGGGCGGAAGCCUGACCCAGCAACGCCGCGUGAAGGAUGAAAUCCCUCGGGAUGUAAACUU
rnacentral:rRNA from 1 species